CCUACGGGUGGCAGCAGUAGGGAAUAUUGCACAAUGGGGGAAACCCUGAUGCAGCGACGCCGCGUGAGUGAAGAAGAAAUUCGUUAUGUAAAGCUCUAUCAGCAGGGAAGAAAAUGACGGUACCUAAGUAAGAAGCCCCGGCGAACGACGUGCCAGCAGCCGCGGGAAUACGUAGGGGGCAAGCUGUAUCCGGUUUUACUGGGUGGAAAGGGAGCGUAGGCGGCAGUGCAAGUCUGGAGGGAAAGGCGGGGGCUCAACCCCCGGACUGCUCUGGAAACUGUACGGCUGGAGUGCAGGAGAGGUAAGUGGAAUUCCUAGUGUAGCGGUGAAAUGCGUAGAUAUUAGGAGGAACACCAGUGGCGAAGGCGGCUUACUGGACUGUAACUGACGUUGAGGCUCGAAAGCGUGGGGAGCAAACAGGAUUAGAUACCCCAGUAGUC
rnacentral:rRNA from 1 species